UGGGGUAUCGCCAAGUUGGUAAGGCAAUAGAUUUUGAUUCUAUCAUUCGAAGGUUCAAGUCCUUCUACCCCAUCCA
rnacentral:tRNA from 1 species